UCGCUAUGAUGAAAGAUUCCAAAACCAUUCGUAGUUUCCACCAGAAGUUGACACAUGUUGGCUUAAAAGUUCCUUCCUUGGAUGUCUGAGCGA